rnacentral:snRNA from 1 species
GAUCAAAGUGUAGUAUCUGUUCUUAUCAGCUUAAUAUCUGAUACGACUCCCAACGGGGGUCAAGAUAUUAAUCUUAUUUUUGUUUAAAGACGGAGAGCUUGAAGCUUGCUUCACCUCCGUCACGGGUUGGC